UACGUAUGGUGCAAGCGUUAUCCGGAUUUACUGGGUGUAAAGGGUGCGUAGGUGGAACGGCAAGUCAGAUGCGAAAACCCGGGGCUCAACCCCGUGACUGCAUUUGAAACUGUCGAUCUAGAGUGCAGGAGAGGAAAGCGGAAUUCCUAGUGUAGCGGUGAAAUGCGUAGAUAUUAGGAGGAACACCAGUGGCGAAGGCGGCUUUCUGGACUGUUACUGACACUGAGGCACGAAAGCGUGGGGAGCAAAC
rnacentral:rRNA from 1 species